UCUCUCAUGAAUCUAAGUAAAAAAGGGGGUUCAGGUCAAAAAGUGGCCAAACUAAAUUGCUUGUAAAUCGAUUAUUAGCUUAUUGAAAAUAUUAAAGCAUUUUACGGAAGAAAUACUCAGUUAGGAUUCCGGUCGACCUAGUCCAAAUGGGCAAGUCUUUUGUUUGAAGCCUCUCAUUAGAUUUUGUACAGUCAUCUUAUCCACUUUCUUCGUCGCAGAACGUCAGAACUGAUUCUCGCUUGUCAACAGUUUUUUGGGUCUUCUAAAAGUUCUGCUCAACUAUCGCCAAAAAUAUUUCGUUUGGACGAAAUUGGGAGGAUUCUUAUCCUUGGGCACAACCUGAAUACACGGAGAAAAAAGUCGAAAGUUGUUCCAAUUAUUUCAGCUAAUUAUACCAAUCAUCAAGGUGUAGUUGAUUUUUUCGCAUUCAACUAUAAAUAUAAAAGGUUCAACAACAAAUUGCUGAUUGUCCUUACGCAAUCAACUACAAAUAUAGUAGAUUCAACUGUAAUUGAUUCAAAUAUAAAUAUGAUAAAUUCAACUACAAUCGUAUGAUUUAUUUUAGGCAUUCAACUAUACUUAUAAUAGAAUCAACUACACCCUGUUGAUAAUUAAUUCCACUCUAAACAGAAUAGAUUCAAUUACGAUUGUACAAUUGAUAUUAAACAUUCAACUCAUAAAUAUAAUAAUUUCUAUUACUUUUAUGAUUAAUUGCAUCAAACUUUAUUUUAACCAACAUUUGAGUAUAGUUGCGCAUGAGUGCAGAGAAAAACAGAAAAAAAACGGCGAUAAAUUCAAUUCUCGUUAACGUGAAACCCGCGGGAAAUAUUUUUCCGAAACCGCUAUCGCUUAACCGUUUCCAAUCCACCAAGGAUUCCUGUGUGUAUUCUCCUGGCAGCGGUUGUGGUGCUCGACCAGCACUUGGCCUCGUUUGGAAACCGCAACUGUCCACAAAUCCGGCAGAAUAGAAAUUUGUUCAAAGGGGUAGCCGAAACCGAUGGGAACCUCAACCUCAGCUGACCGUUCGAAAGAUUCUAGAAAAGUCCUCCAACGAAACUCCCAGUCUAAGAAAACAGGCUACAAUAAACGGCCGGCGACUUCAGCGGCAUGGAAAAACUCAAUUCUACUCGGAGCAAGACGGCGGAAGCUAGACAUGGCCUCAAACAAUUUCACCGGGAACAAUCGAACGAUGCUACUAAUCUGUCAGGGACGUCAAGUGUGCUGAUUAUUGGGAGCUUAACUCGGCCAGCAAAGUAUUUCCCUGGGAUCACUGCCGACUUACCGGAACCUGGGAUUUUGUCACUGGGAUCGAUUGACAAGAGACCACACCUGACGUCCUAUACGGUCCCCCGAAACGCUGCUCGUCGAAUAGCAUAAAUGUUGGUUGCCCGUUCACCGAUAAAGCCCAAAAAAAUACGCCGGCUUUCUUUCGUUCUACCUACCCUGUUGCUGAGAUCGGUGGGCUUUCCGGCUGGGAAGUAAUCAGCAGUAGCAGGACAAACAAUUCGGAUCAAAAUGCAGUUGUAUUCCUGUAAAUUUACCACCACCACCCGAUGGCAGUUUCUUUGGUCGGUUUCGGGCGGAGGCUGAACGUUGAACGGGCCAGAAAUAAAAUUUUGUUUUGUGUAAAUAGUGUGAAAAACCAAUAAAAAUAAAAUAUAAUUGGAAUAACCGCUAGAACCGACUAGAAAGCAAACAAUAAAUAUGAUGGCUUCCAAAACAAACAUUUGUUGAAUCUACAAUAUCUAUA